GAGAUUACCUUUCGACACCAGUACAGAGAUUUUUCUUCAAAGUGUGACUUAGUUUCUUAGUACCAAUGUAGUUGAAUUUAAGCAACUAAUCACAAUAUAUCAAUGUUAUUGUCAUUUGAAUGUUGUAUUGAAAUCAGUAAUAGUUAGAUGCCACUGUAUUGUUCCCAAUGUAAAUAUCUUAAUUCUGCCAUGGUACGUGUGAUAACUAGAGUCAGUACUUGCUGAAUGUGAUAUGAAUGUGAUAUUUUCCUUACAACCCAUCCAACUAUAGUUUAAUAGCUCCCUUAGUCCAAAAUCAACUCCACGUUAUGACUCAUUUGAAUGGGUCACAAUUCCAAGGCAACGUAUUUUCAUAAAUGGAGAAAAACUCAAACACCACCAAAUAGAAGAUUGACAUUCAAACUAUAUAACGAUGAUGAUACUAUUAAACUUGAGCACCAUAAUUGUAGUACUAGACUAAAGUUGGGUGAUACGGUACACGAAAUAGACGAGUUUUCAGAUAAUUGUCUGUACAAUGGAAGUUAAAGAGCAGCGGUCCUGGUUUAGUGGAUUUCUCCACACAGAAAAAAGAAGUGGCAUCUAGUAUUUUAUCAUAGUAUUACUACAAAUCUAUUUAUUGCUAAUCCGAGAUAGCAGCUCUAAUUAACAAUUGGGUUGUGAUCUAGCUUUAAAGUGAACAAAUUUAAUAAUUUGGCGUGCUCCGUAUUUAUCCUCAAUUCACUACAUAUUUAGAGGAAAGGGGACGACCACUUCUCCAUUCAAACGUAGUCCCCAUUUUCCUCUCUGGAUAUUGAUAUUAUAGAAAAUAUUUUACAUAACUAUAGCUAAGCUCCUACGUUUGAGUUUUUUCGUAUUUUGUAUUAUUAUAAAAAUUAGGAACGAGAAACAGAUUUUCAACUUCUUAAAUGCUCUCAUAACUCUUAUAAUAAUCAAAAAUUCGAAAAAAAUCAUACGUAGGUAUAACCACAUACCUAGCUGUGGUUGAUAUACAACAAACUGUCUCCGAAUAUUUUCAAUAAUGUUAAUAUCCAGAGAGGAAAAUGAGGGCUACGUUUGUAUAAAAAGGCAAUUUCGCGCGAGUCCUCCGCUUUUGUCGUAACAAUAUCAACAUUUGUAUCAGAAUAUGCACCAAAAGAUAUGUUUCUAUUUAGAACAAUUCAAGUGUUGCAGAUACAUUUGAAUGCGAAAUGUCGAGAUAUAUCUUUAUUUAGAAAAGUAUUCUGGGUUGGUAGAAACUUUUGGCGCGUUGUGUCAUCCGAUAAUAUUGAUGCUGACUGUACAUUUCAUGGUUUAUUUAAGGUACCUAUCGGCCACCGUUAUUUGGUUAUAAUUGCUAUACCAAAAUAUGACAAAUUGUCAUCUUCGCAUAAUAUGUAAUUGUCAUGAUGACGAAAUGCUCCAAUUUCAUCAGGCGCGUAUUUCACCAACUUGACAAUUGACUCCUGACACUGAAUUGUAAUGUCUGGUGACAAUUGUCAGCGUGGUGAAACAGGGGCCUGAUUAACACUUUUUCUUUUUUCUUUUGACUUGUGUUAUUUAUCUUGUGUUUUGUCUUGUCUUGUUCUUGAUACUUGAUUUAUGUCAAGUUCUUGAAACAUUUUAGUUAUCUUAUUAAAAUGUAAAUUUGGUCUUUUGAACCGAAUAUUUACUUGUUAAUUUUCGGAUUAGCUUUAAACCGGUUUCCCAAACGCUAUAGAAAUAUAUUUUCAUAGAAUGUUGUCAUAAUUCUCAGUGUCAAAGUCUGUGUUUUAGAAUAAUACUUGCCGUUAUGGUUUUGACAAAUCUCGCUAGAUGGCAUUAGUGAUCGAUUUCUAAUUCUUAUAAUUUGGGAACUUUGUUUUAUUAAAAGUUAAAAGGUUUAUUAAUCAUUAUAUUGGCAGCGUAUUAGCAGCACUUUAAGCUCACCUGCACAUAAAAUAUAUAGCUGGGAUAACUGCCAUCCGUCCUAAUAUAAACCCCAUAUUGAAAAUGGAGAGAGCUCAUUUAGCUAAGCUUAAUGUAUUCUAACCGGUUGCGGGUGACCUUAUGUAUCUGUGAAUCUCUAUAGCCUCCUGAGACCCAGACGCAGUUAUCGAAUUUGGAACCUUUUGUUAAUAAAUGAAAGUUCAGAAUAGAUUGAGCAAUAUGUACAAAAAUGUCCGUCUAACCAUAGAGAAAUAAGUAAGCAUAGAGUGCUUACUCCAUACAUCAGUUUUCUUACCAAAACGCUCAUUAUUUUUGUAUAUGAGGAUUGGUCAGUACCGCUAUUUGACACCAGAUGUCACGUGUGUCGUGAUGUUAAAAAGUGUAUUUCUAAGCAAUUUACUUCUAAUAUUACUAUUAAUACUGAUAAAUCCGCUACUUGACGCUAAAUGUUGACUACGAAAAAAAUAAGCGUGUUGGUAUGAAAACUGAUGUAUGGAGUGAGUACUCUGCUUACUUAUUUAUCUAUGGUACGUCCGACUAGAAUUUUUGCAAAAUAAAAAUACAUUGCCACUUCGGGCAAGAUGUGAAGCUUAUGCAACUGCGGCGAUAAUUCCAUCUUACACUUCAUUAUUUUACAUGAAUUAUUAUUUUAUUUCAAAAAUGCUUGUUUCGUGGACCGUCCUUGUGAGUACAUAAAUUAGUAAUGUAAUAUUUUUAAUAUUUGUGACUAUUGUAUUGAUUUUCACAAUACUUAAUUCAAUAUGAAGCUACCUAAUUAUUUUGUAGUCAUACAUUUUGUUUCAAAAUGAUCUCACUACCUUGAAUUAAUUAAUAGUAGUUUACGUGACUGCUACAUAACGACUGGUAAUGAGGUAGAUAAAGCAGUGUACGUAUACACUGCUUUAUCUACACACAUAUUAAUAAGUUCUCUAUUAUGUGUUCAGGAACCGCAUUUUAUCACACUCAAUAAAACGUCAUCUCGUCUGAUGCUAGAAAUUAGUGGUGUUUGGCCUAGUGGGUAGUGACCCUGCGUACGAAGCUGAUGGUCCUGGGUUCAAACCCUGGUAAGGGCAUUUAAAUUCGUGCGCUGAGCAUGGAUAUUUGUUCCUGAGUCAUGGCUGUUUUCUAUGUAGGUAUUUAAGUAUUUAUGCCCAAGUACCCUCAACACAAGCCUUAUUGAGCUUACUGUGGGACUUAGUUUGUGUAAUAAUGUUCUAUAAUAUUUAUUUAUAUAUUUAUUAAUUUUAUUUUAAAUGAAAUUCCUUUGUUUUUGAGAAAUAAUCAUAUCGACUAUCACGCAAUAAUAACAUUUUAACUUGUAACAAAACAGUUUAUCUUUAUGCUGGCUAUCAUUUACGGUUUUUGGAUGCAUCACAGAGGGUUUAUGAUAUUAUGUGUAUGAACAAAAUAAUUUAUAUGCAAUGCAAGUUUAUUUUAUACCCGGAACACAAUUACUUAAUAUAACAACCACCACGUGCGCCAUCUAGUGCCUCUAAGAUACAUUAGACGCUUUAUGGUGUUCAAACUAUUUAUACUAUAUACAAAAUAAUAUAAAUCAAUUCAUAGAUCUUUGUUGAAAUACAUUUACUCGUAAACAUGCUCCGAAAAUGGAACUCGUAAUAAAUUGGGAGUACUAUAUGUACAGAAUGAUUUAUCUCUGGUGCUUGUUUCACAAAAUUGACAAGUGGCACUUGACACUGACAAUUUCAUGUCCCUUUCUGGGUGGGUGGAUCCUUGGAGGAUUUAUCAUUAACAUUAACUUUAUUAAUUAUAUAAAAUGAACUAGACUAAAAUAUUAGUAUAGAACCGAAGUUAUAAAUAAUGAAACAAAAGAUAAAUAGUUUAAUACGGAAAUUUGCAUGUAUCAACUUAGGUAUAAACCUGAAUGUCAUAUUUAAUAUAUAAAAAUAUAUUUUAGUUUUUCGUUGACUUGCAUGACAUUUAUAUGUACUUCUGGUCUCCCGCGAUACAGGCCUAGCCUAGUGCGGGGACUCCUGGAAACUCUGUUGUCAAUCUAGUUAUGCACCAACUCUUAAAAACAACCGCUGUAUACUUUUUCUGUGUCCUUUCUUGUGCAAUAAACAUAUUUUUUAUCUUUUA